UGAGGUUUGAGCUCGUGGCUACU
rnacentral:miRNA from 1 species